rnacentral:rRNA from 1 species
AUUGAACGCUGGCGGCAUGCCUUACACAUGCAAGUCGAACGGCAGCGGGGGAGGAGCUUGCUUUUCCUGCCGGCGAGUGGCGAACGGGUGAGUAAUACAUCGGAACGUGCCCUGUAGUGGGGGAUAACCAGUCGAAAGAUUAGCUAAUACCGCAUACGACCUGAGGGUGAAAGUGGGGGACCGCAAGGCCUCAUGCUAUAGGAGCGGCCGAUGUCUGAUUAGCUAGUUGGUGGGGUAAAGGCCUACCAAGGCGACGAUCAGUAGCUGGUCUGAGAGGACGAUCAGCCACACUGGGACUGAGACACGGCCCAGACUCCUACGGGAGGCAGCAGUGGGGAAUUUUGGACAAUGGGCGAAAGCCUGAUCCAGCAAUGCCGCGUGUGUGAAGAAGGCCUUCGGGUUGUAAAGCACUUUUGUCCGGAAAGAAAUGGCUCUGGUUAAUACCUGAGGUCGAUGACGGUACCGGAAGAAUAAGGACCGGCUAACUACGUGCCAGCCGCCGCCGUAA